rnacentral:lncRNA from 1 species
CAGAAGUUCCCAUUGUUCUACUUAACAAUCCUGUGGCUCAGUGACCCCAGGAUCUGAAUUCUUUCAGCAUUCCAACCCUUCUUCCUGAGCACAUUGGUUUCAACCCUCAGGCUUGCCCCCUACAGUCAGAAAAUUGUCACUGCACUCCAAGUAACUCCACAGACCAUCUAAAGGCAAGAUGGGAAUAUUCUCAUUACGAGAGAGGGCUUCAUGGAAACCACUCAGGCUUCAAAAGGUUGAAUUUAAGCUUCUUGAUGACGGGACCAAAGUGUGUAUUCCCUUCACACAAGACCUGAGUUCUACAACAGAAGCCUGCUGCUGCUGCUGCUGCUGUCUUUCUGCCUGAAGGACGGGAAGAGCUUCGGAGUAUAAAUAAUGCUAAUGGAA